rnacentral:tRNA from 1 species
GAAGGUAGAGCUCAGUGGUAGAGUGUGUGCUUAGCAUGCACGAGGUCCUGGGUUCAAUCCCCAGCAUCUCCA